rnacentral:rRNA from 1 species
UACGUAGGGUGCGAGCGUUGUCCGGAAUUAUUGGGCGUAAAGAGCGUGUAGGCGGCCAGGUAGGUCCGUUGUGAAAACUCGAGGCUCAACCUCGAGACGCCGAUGGAAACCAUUUGGCUAGAGUCCGGAAGAGGAGAGUGGAAUUCCUGGUGUAGCGGUGAAAUGCGCAGAUAUCAGGAAGAACACCUGUGGCUAAGGCGGCUCUCUAGUACGGUACUGACGCUGAGACGCGAAAGCGUGGGGAGCGAACAGG